UACGUAGGGUGCGAGCGUUAAUCGGAAUUACUGGGCGUAAAGCGUGCGCAGGCGGUUGGUUAAGUCUGAUGUGAAAGCCCCGAGCUCAACUUGGGAAUGGCAUUGGAAACUGGCUGGCUAGAGUUCGGCAGAGGGAAGCGGAAUUUCGGGUGUAGCGGUGAAAUGCGUAGAUAUCCGAAGGAACAUCAGUGGCGAAAGCGGCUUCCUGGACCAGAACUGACGAUCAGGCACGAAAGCGUGGGGAGCAAACAGG
rnacentral:rRNA from 1 species